rnacentral:rRNA from 1 species
GGGAUUGCCCUAGUAACGGCGAGUGAAGCGGCAACAGCUCAAAUUUGAAAUCUGGCCCUCGGGUCCGAAUUGUAAUUUGUAGAGGAUGCUUUUGGUGCGGUGCCUUCCGAGUUCCCUGGAACGGGACGCCAGAGAGGGUGAGAGCCCCGUACGGUUGGACACCUACCCUAUAUAUAGCUCCUUCGACGAGUCGAGUAGUUUGGGAAUGCUGCUCUAAAUGGGAGGUAAAUUUCUUCUAAAGCUAAAUACCGGCCAGAGACCGAUAGCGCACAAGUAGAGUGAUCGAAAGAUGAAAAGCACUUUGAAAAGAGGGUUAAAUAGCACGUGAAAUUGUUGAAAGGGAAGCGUUUGUGACCAGACUUUUUCCCGGCGGAUCAUCCGGUGUUCUCACCGGUGCACUUCGCCGGGUCUAGGCCAGCAUCGGUUUCCGGAGGGGGACAAAAGCCUGGGGAAUGUGGCUCCUUCGGGAGUGUUAUAGCCCCUAGCAUAAUACCUCUCCUGGGGACCGAGGACCGCGCUUCGGCAAGGAUGCUGGCGUAAUGGUUAUCAACGACCCGUCUUGAAACACGGACCAAGGAGUCGAACAUUUGUGCGAGUGUUUGGGUGUUAAACCCUCACGCGUAAUGAAAGUGAACGGAGGUGAGAGCCCCUCGGGGUGCAUCAUCGACCGAUCCUGAUGUCUUCGGAUGGAUUUGAGUAAGAGCAUAACUGUUCGGACCCGAAAGAUGGUGAACUAUGCGUGGAUAGGGUGAAGCCAGAGGAAACUCUGGUGGAGGCUCGCAGCGGUUCUGACGUGCAAAUCGAUCGUCAAAUCUGCGCAUGGGGGCGAAAGACUUAUCG